rnacentral:rRNA from 1 species
UACGUAGGGGGCGAGCGUUGUCCGGAGUUAUUGGGCGUAAAGAGCGUGUAGGCGGUCCGGUAAGUCCGCUGUGAAAGUCCAGGGCUCAACCCUGGAAUGCCGGUGGAUACUGCCGGGCUAGAGUCCGGAAGAGGCGAGUGGAAUUCCUGGUGUAGCGGUGAAAUGCGCAGAUAUCAGGAGGAACACCGAUGGCGAAGGCAGCUCGCUGGGACGGUACUGACGCUGAGACGCGAAAGCGUGGGGAGCAAACAGG